rnacentral:lncRNA from 1 species
GGGGAGGGGAUGGGGGGGGAGGGGAUGGGGGGGGAAUCAUGGCGCUGCUGCUUCUAUAAUGCAACAGACACACAUUAACCUUCAUACAAAAUGGCUGCCGUGGCAAAGCAUACUAAAAACCUAAUUCAGUUCUUCCACCUUAACCACACCGAAGUGUCCCUCCGUCAUGGAUCUAACGUGGACUCGCGUUAGUAACAUGGUGGCUACUCCCUCCCUUCCAAGCUGAUGUUUACACUUAUAAUGUUUAUAAAUCCAUGACAGGAAGUGCACACACAUCAGGGAAGAGAGAAUCAGACCCAAAGGGCACCCUAUUCCCUAUAUAGUGCACUACUUUAUACCAGAGCCCUAUGGUACCCUAUUCCCUAUAUAGUGCACUACUUUAGACCAGAGCCCUAUGGCACCCUAUUCCCUAUACAGUGCACUACUUUUGACCUGAACAUUAUAUGGCCCUGGUCUAAAAUAGUGCCCUAUAUAUAUAUAUAUAUAGGGAAUAGGGUGCCAUUGGAGAUGAAGACUCAAGAGUUGAAGUCUGAAUGUGUACUCUCCCAAUGGGCAAUCCAGGCUCAUUACAACAGAACUUGACGGGUUGGUAGUUGUAUCAGACAAUACAGAAGAAGAAAGUUAAAAGUUUGUGUCAAAGUUUAAAACAAACAUUCUGUACAAAUCUAUCCACAGUUUGGUUUUUUGUGUUUUUAAAGCAGUGGGACGGAGGAGGGGGGAGGGGGGAGGAGGGGGGAGGACACGGGACUGAAUAGUUUAAAAAUAGUGCAACGUCAAGCUUCUUUCUUGGUUAAAACUUUUUAUCCUUCUGCUACAUAAUACCCGAGGGACAGUCUUGAAGGCACCAUGGUUGUUUACACGCCGGUCACCGUUGGAGACGGAGGGAGGAGCGUCCCCAAUACGGUUACAACACGGUCACCGUGGAGACGGGACGGAGGGGGGGGGACAGUCAGGUUCCUGCAGAGAUGAGGGGAGAGUAGAAUGUUUGCGAUUAAAAACAAUGGAUUUGUACCUGUACAACAUACGGAGCCAGAUUUAAGGGUAUUUCUAUACUAAAAUCGGCUACGUGACUGUCAGAAUGUACAGGAAACAACAGGAAGUUAAAGUCAUUACCCAGUAUAAAGUCACGCCACCGCGGCCCGGUCAGGCCCCUCCCACGCGAUUUUCUCAUGACUUUCGUUGGCGGCGGGGUCGGUGAUUGGCUCGUGACUUUCGUUGGCGGCGGGGUCGGUGAUUGGCUCGUGGCUUUCGUUGGCGGCGGGGUCGGUGAUUGGCUCGUGGCUUUCGUUGGCGGCGGCGGGGUCGGUGAUUGGCUCGUGGCUUUCCCUGAAUUUUUCUGUUUGCCUCUCCUGUUCCCGGCUCGGACCCGGUUGUGCUCCUGAACCAUCGCCUCCUGCGGCGAACCGCUAGACUCCUUCCAGGGAACUCUCCUCUUCCUUCUCUCAGUUUUCACAGCUUUGUCGUACUCGUCCCUCCUCUCCUCCUGUCUGGUCUCGUCGGGGCAGUAUGUGUCGUCUAGAUUGACGGUGCAGACGUCCCACUCGUCCUCAACGGUGGACUCUGUGUCGGGGGAGUUGAUCUUCUUGAGAAACACGCAACACUCCUUCAGAGUCUCUGGACUCCAGGCUUUAGAGCUGAGACGCUGCUGUUUGGUGAGGCCUGUCAGCUGGUCGGGGCUGCAGGGCUGACUGGUGUCCGAGGAGGCAGGUAGACAGUGGUGAUGUGGAGAAGAGGUGAGCUCCUCCCUGGGCUGAGCAGAAGGGCAGACCUGGUCAGGUGAAUUGCCUACCUCCACCAGGCUUCUCCUCCAGAUCGCCUGGUUGUACCUCAGCCUGUUGGGCCGCUUGGCUCUGAGGGUCCAGGUGAGGAACUUUUCUCUGACUCUGAGCAGAGUGGUUCUGUACGUCCCGAGGGCCCUGAUCUUCCUCCAUGGAGCUCUGAGACGCAGCCCGCCUGACGCGGCCUCGCAGUGAACAGACGCCGCCUGGCAUUCAGCUCUUUUCCACGUCGGAGCCGUUCCUGGGCUAGACGGAGCUGGGCGGGGCUCUUCGGCACAGCUUUGGCAAACUUCUUGAUGUGUUUGCGUAGUCGCAUGGUCUGCGGGCUGGGAAAGACGCUCCCCCUGCUGGCGGUCCGGGGGUAGUGAAGGAGCUCAUAGGGGUUUCGGGAGCUGGUCUUCUUCACAAUGCCCAGAGACUGAGUCUCAGUGGUCUGCAUGAACCAGGAUGCCAGCCUCUCCACGCUGCAGCGCUGGUCAAACAGCAGCCGCACCGCCGACCCAACCUCUGGCUUCCACGAGGACAAAGAGUCAUCGUCGAGUUUCUGCUUGGCGGACGUGAUCGUCCCCGUCCUGGUGGUGUGGGUGGUAGUGGCUGCGGAAGUGACCCAGCUGUGGGAUAUGAGGCGGAUCCUGCGAGCCAGCUCUUGGUUCAGGCUGUCCUGGUCGGAGGAGACGGGCCACCACCUCACCGCCUCGCUGGAGCUGGCCGGGAAAAUGGAGUCUACCGAAACCCCCGCCACCUGGCUCAGGUCCUCACACAACAGCCCUCCUUUUCCCUCGCUCUUCCUCUCCUCCUUCCCAGACAGCAGCUCCUCCUGCCCUGGGGUGUCCUCUCCUCCCUCCUCCUUCCUCCUGCGAUGGCUGCCUUUGCUGCUGGCCCUGUUGAUCAGUAGCUGUCUGGAUCGGCGCAGCAGGGCGGUACUGUGGCUCAGGGACCUAGAGGUGGAGGUGGCUACAGAGUGAAGCAGGUACACUGAAGGCUUCCUCACCCUCACAGAGUGACGCACCGCCAACAGAGGAGGAGUCUGGGUCUGUCGCUCCCUCUCUCCAUCCUUGGACUCUGUCGUUCUCUCGGUCUGCAUCCGAGUGUCGUCGUCACUAGAUGGUGUGCUGCUGAUUUUCCUGGGCUCUUUGGAAGGCUGGGGUUCAGGAAGGAGGGCUUUCCACUGACAGAGCUUCUCCGGAGAUUUCCUGGCUGCGUCCCGGUUCAUGUGGAUCUUGCGUUUCCCGGCGACCUGGUGGUGACGGUAACGGAGAUUCCGGAGAUCUUGACCUUGGCGGGUCUCCCUGGACGACGCAUGGCCGCGGUACACUGCAGCUUCUGGCACUUGAUAAUGUUGCUGCUGUUGCUGGCGUGGGGAGCGAACCUCUUCUCCUUCACCGGUCUGACAAAGUUCAGAUCCAUCAGCUGCUCUGUAGCCUGGAGACAAGCAGCCUCCUCCGACACGGUCCUCUUGGUCCUGUGGGAGCGUCCGUACACCACGGUGAUCUUCAGGUUCCUGUUGGCUGGGUCUCUCUCCUCGUUGCCCACCUCCCCGGUACUGCAGCCUAAGGGAACUCCACCGGACCGGUCCUGACCCCCCUGCCUGGAGCCACAGCUCGGCUCUACACCCCUUUGCUUGGGCGGGCGGCCGAUCGGCCUCUUGGCCCUCUUCUCCAGCUGGGGGCCCAGCUUCUUGGGACGUCCCGGACGUCUCUUCGUGGGGGUGGUUUCACGAAAAGGAGGCGGGCCAUCUCCGUUCUGGGAUCCGGGGGAACGUUUUGGCGGGCUACCCCCCUCUCCUCUCGUCGUUCCACACAGCUUUGGUGAUGACGAUACGGUGUUCUUGGGUGGACUCCUGGUUUUAAGCGGACUCCUGGUCUGGGGGGGACUCCUGGUCUGGGGGGGACUCCUGGUCUGGGGGGGACUCCUGGUUUUAGGUGGAUUGUGAGUCUUCUCUGGGGUCUUCUCUGGACUUCCAGCCCACGAUGACUCCUCACAGGGGUCAAAGGUCUCCUGUCCAUGCCAGCUGGAUCCUGGUGCAGCCGCCUUCAGGGUGUACCUCACCCCCUCUUCACCCACUACUGCAGACACAAACAUCAGCUUGAUAGGGCUGGUGUACUGAGAUUGCUCUGUGUGGACCUCACCCUCUGACCUGAAGGCUGUCUGAGGGCUCGCUGGUUGGGACCGGGAGUCUGGGUGCUGACCCUGGGGUUGGGCUGGGGAGGAGCGUAAGCGCCCAAAAGGUUUGGCUGCUCUGAGCCUAACAUCUGCCCUGUUCCGGGAGCGGUGUUUACGGGGACUCUGCUGCUCAGAGGAAGAUGCAGUGACGGGAAUCACCUGACCUCGUCUCUGUGACUCACGGUCUGAACUCUGACCUCCUGCUGUUGAUCUACAGCCUCUGUCUCCUCUCCUCUCCUGACUGACAACCUCAGGACUGGAUGCCAGCGGUAAUUCUUCUUCUCUUGCUUCGCCCAACCCCUCAGCCGUGUCUGUGGCCGAGGAUUGGGAGUCUGUGUGAUUGGUGUUGGGGGCAUUUAGUGGUGGCCGAUCCUUUGGCGUCCUCUGGGCGGAGAAGAUUCUCUCUGAGAAACAGGCAGCAGAAUACAUCAUCCUGGGCUCUGUGACGUAGGAGGAGAACCGCUGGGGAGGGACGAUAUUCCUCCUGGACCUCCCAGCCUCGCUGCUCCUCCUCACCACCACCACCUUGCUGCUGCUGCCUGGCUGGGACCUCUUGCCUCUCCCGGUUCUGCAGGGGUGGGAAGGGCUAUUCCUGGCUGACACUCUGCUACUGUCCUUGCUGCAGCCUGCUGUUUCUGCUGUCUCCUCCUCUUCCUCUCUACUCCUCUCAGGAAGACAGGUGCUGCUGGUACUACCUGGUGACUCCUCCUGUCUCCUCCUCUUCUCUGGGAGGUCAUUCCUACUGCUGUCCUGACAGGUGAUGUUCCAGCUCUCUGGUUUGUGUUGGUCCUCCUGCGGGUGACUCUGUUGUGUAGAGGAGAGGACUGGGGGUUUCUCCAUCUCCUCCUUCACGCCCACUAUAUCCUUCGUAACUCUCACUGGACCUGCCUCCUCUGCUGUCACCCUCUCCGUCUCUCCCUCCUUCACCCUCUCCGUCCCUCCCUCCUUCACCCUCUCCGUCUCUCCCUCCUUCACCCUCUCCGUCCCUCCCUCCUUCACCCUCUCCGUCUCUCCCUCCUUCACCCUCUCCGUCCCUCC